rnacentral:rRNA from 1 species
GACGAACGCUGGCGGCGUGCUUAACACAUGCAAGUCGAACGGAAAGGCCCUGCUUUUGUGGGGUGCUCGAGUGGCGAACGGGUGAGUAACACGUGAGUAACCUGCCCUUGACUUUGGGAUAACUUCAGGAAACUGGGGCUAAUACCGGAUAGGAGCUCCUGCUGCAUGGUGGGGGUUGGAAAGUUUCGGCGGUUGGGGAUGGACUCGCGGCUUAUCAGCUUGUUGGUGGGGUAGUGGCUUACCAAGGCUUUGACGGGUAGCCGGCCUGAGAGGGUGACCGGCCACAUUGGGACUGAGAUACGGCCCAGACUCCUACGGGAGGCAGCAGUGGGGAAUAUUGCACAAUGGGCGGAAGCCUGAUGCAGCAACGCCGCGUGCGGGAUGACGGCCUUCGGGUUGUAAACCGCUUUCGCCUGUGACGAAGCGUGAGUGACGGUAAUGGGUAAAGAAGCACCGGCUAACUACGUGCCAGCAGCCGCGGUGAUACGUAGGGUGCGAGCGUUGUCCGGAUUUAUUGGGCGUAAAGGGCUCGUAGGUGGUUGAUCGCGUCGGAAGUGUAAUCUUGGGGCUUAACCCUGAGCGUGCUUUCGAUACGGGUUGACUUGAGGAAGGUAGGGGAGAAUGGAAUUCCUGGUGGAGCGGUGGAAUGCGCAGAUAUCAGGAGGAACACCAGUGGCGAAGGCGGUUCUCUGGGCCUUUCCUGGCGCUGAGGAGCGAAAGCGUGGGGAGCGAACAGGCUUAGAUACCCUGGUAGUCCACGCUGUAAACGGUGGGUACUAGGUGUGGGGUCCAUUCCACGGGUUCCGUGCCGUAGCUAACGCUUUAAGUACCCCGCCUGGGGAGUACGGCCGCAAGGCUAAAACUCAAAGGAAUUGACGGGGCCCCGCACAAGCGGCGGAGCAUGCGGAUUAAUUCGAUGCAACGCGUAGAACCUUACCUGGGUUUGACAUGGAUCGGGAGUGCUCAGAGAUGGGUGUGCCUCUUUUGGGGUCGGUUCACAGGUGGUGCUUGGCUGUCGUCAGCUCGUGUCGUGAGAUGUUGGGUUAAGUCCCGCAACGAGCGCAACCCUUGUUCACUGUUGCCAGCACGUUAUGGUGGGGACUCAGUGGAGACCGCCGGGGUCAACUCGGGGGAAGGUGGGGAUGACGUCAAGUCAUCAUGCCCCUUAUGUCCAGGGCUUCACGCAUGCUACAAUGGCAGGUACAGAGAGUGGCGAGCCUGUGAGGGUGAGCGAAUCUCGGAAAGCCGGUCUCAGUUCGGAUUGGGGUCUGCAACUCGACCUCAUGAAGUCGGAGUCGCUAGUAAUCGCAGAUCAGCAACGCUGCGGUGAAUACGUUCCCGGGGCU